GAGAGAGAGAGAUCACAGGCUGAGGAGAUGAAUUAUGACUGCUGAGAGCCAAACAUGAUCUCUCUGGGCUUCAGCAGGAAAACUGAACAGUGAGGAGCACUGACAAGCUGAAUCCCAGAGUCUGAGGAGAUGCAAUAAAUGAUGAAAACACUAAUCCUAAUGAUGGCUUCUGCAUUCUGCAACAGGGCUGCUGUCAAAUCAGCUGAAUCCCAGCUGGGGUAAAACAUCCUUG